UUCCUCUCCACACCUUUCUUGGUGUGGUCCACACGAUGCUUUCUUUCUGUCAUUUUCACUUAAUAUUUCUCUACUAAGUGGAAUAAAUUUGAAAAGGGAAGGAAAAAGUAGAGCUGUUCCGCUACCUCUCAACUCGGACUGCCGGGCCAGUUUUAUUUGCGUAAAGUUUAAUGAUACCUUUCACUCAGUGUACUGCAGUGACUCGAUCAACUGAUUUUGGGGUGUUUAUAUGAGAGUAUUCUGCACACGUGCAACAGGAGACAUACAAGAAGGGGGCACCAGUAUUAACAUCGACCUCAUGUUUACGGUGAAAAGAAGGAACGCGUAUGUUCAGGUGUGUUGCCAGGAUGCAUAUCACACAGCGGAGACAAUGAACUACAGUGGGUAGUUGGAUUUCAGAAGCUUCAAUCUUAGGUUUAUGACACCAUUUUAUAAAGAUCUCUAAAUCCUGUCAACCUCCAAAGCUGGCUACAGUUCCAGAACGAAGUUUGGGUCUUUUGGUCACAGCAGCAAAAAGCUGACUAGAGCAGAGCCUCUAUCAACUGAGAGGCUUUGCUGAGUUGAGGACUUAUGGGAAGUGAAUCUACUCUGGAACCAAAGGCAAAUACUGGGAAUGCAAAGCCUGGAGUCUCCACAUCUUUGGGACAGGUGUGAUGCUUCUCUGGAAUUCUGAUGGCCCUCCGCCUGGCAGUUCUCCAUCCUGCAGGGUAUUUAAGUAAAAGGAGAUGACACUUGGGCAGAGAACCUGUGUGAGAGCCCUUCACAUCCAGUAUCGGGAUGAGAGGCUGCAGAACCGGCAGCUUUUAACAGCACUGGAGAUGUAGGCACGAGGUGAUCCAAUCCAGAGCCUUGAGAGUCACACAAGGGCUCCCCCACCAAGCCCUGUGCCUCCUGCCCGCUCCCUCUGCCCUCUCCCAGCCUCCACCCGGGCCCCAGAGUCCCUCACUCAUUCUUCCACUCCAUAGUCCUCCCUGAACACCCACUCCACCACCCCAGUUUUGCUUAAAUUUGGAGGGAGGCCUUGCUCAGCUGCCUGGGCUGACUUCCAACCUGUGAGCCUCCCGCCUGCAGGGCUCAGCUAGAUUUUACCUUAUUGACGAACAUUCUGUGACCACAUUGUUUAACUGGAACAUACAGAUCCACUCCCUUCCUGUUCUGUUUUCCUUUUCUCCCACUUAUCUGGAAGGCCAUUUUAAGGUAUCUGUUUGCUCUCUAAUAGAAAAGGAACUCUCA